rnacentral:rRNA from 1 species
GACGAACGCUGGCGGCGUACUUAACACAUGCAAGUCGAACGGAAAGGCCCUGCUUUUGUGGGGUGCUCGAGUGGCGAACGGGUGAGUAACACGUGAGUAACCUGCCCUUGACUUUGGGAUAACUUCAGGAAACUGGGGCUAAUACCGGAUAGGAGCUCCUGCUGCAUGGUGGGGGUUGGAAAGUUUCGGCGGUUGGGGAUGGACUCGCGGCUUAUCAGCUUGUUGGUGGGGUAGUGGCUUACCAAGGCUUUGACGGGUAGCCGGCCUGAGAGGGUGACCGGCCACAUGGGGAAUGAGAUAAGGCCCAGACUCAGACGGGAGGCAGCAGUGGGGAAUAUUGCACAAUGGGCGGAAGCGUGAUGCAGCAACGCCGCGUGCGGGAUGACGGCCUUGGGGUUGUAACCCGCUUUCGCCUGUGACGAAGCGGGAGUGACGGUAAUGGGUAAAGAAGCACCGGCUAACUACGUG